rnacentral:rRNA from 1 species
UGCCCUAGUAACGGCGAGUGAAGCGGCAAGAGCUCAAAUUUGAAAGCUGGCUCCUUCGGGGUCCGCAUUGUAAUUUGCAGAGGAUGCUUCGGAAUCGGCCCCCAUCUAAGUGCCCUGGAACGGGCCGUCAUAGAGGGUGAGAAUCCCGUCUGGGAUGGGGUGUCCGUGCCCGUGUGAAGCUCCUUCGACGAGUCGAGUUGUUUGGGAAUGCAGCUCUAAUUGGGUGGUAAAUUUCAUCUAAAGCUAAAUAUUGGCCGGAGACCGAUAGCGCACAAGUAGAGUGAUCGAAAGAUGAAAAGCACUUUGAAAAGAGAGUUAAAAAGCACGUGAAAUUGUUGAAAGGGAAGCGCUUGCGACCAGACUCGCCCGCGGGGUUCAGCCGGCAUUCGUGCCGGUGUACUUCCCCGCGGGCGGGCCAGCGUCGGUUUGGGCGGCCGGUCAAAGGCCCCUGGAAUGUAACGCCUCUCGGGGCGUCUUAUAGCCAGGGGUGCCAUGCGGCCUGCCCGGACCGAGGAACGCGCUUCGGCUCGGACGCUGGCAUAAUGGUCGUAAGCGAC